UUAUAUUACCGGUACUGCGCUGGUGCAUUUGUUUGGCGUGGUGAACGAUAGCGGUAUAAAUUGGCAGUACGGUGCGAAUGUGCGGUAAUGAGACCUGUCUGAGCGCCUUUAAUCCAGUGUGGUGCUGUAAACGGAUGAGAGCUGUAGAGAAGCUGGCUACAGGUGCAUGUAAAAGGUGUUGAGAGUUGAGGAAUCCAGAGUUCUCCAACUGUAAGUGUUAGGUACUCUCCUCCAGCUUUGCUGAACUGACGCCGUGUAUAAACGGAUUUGAUUCAGAGGUGUUCAUUUUUAAAGUGCACACACCUCACCUUCACAGAGGCAGGAAGCUGGGCAGAGUUCUCUUCAACGACUGUGCUGGUAGAGGGUAUAACAUUUACAGCUCUACUGAUCAGCACUUUCAGGUGGAUGUUGACGGCACAGUGGAACUGAAGACACAGCUCACUCUACACCAAGUUCAAGAAUUCUCAGUCCAUGCCUGGGAUUCAGAGGGAAAGAGGUACACUGCUUCUGUGAGAGUGGAAAACCAUCACCAUGCCCAGCAGGAGGAAACUAAGAACAUGAAUAUAAAUGUUCUGAAGUUGUGGAGACAAAAGAGA